GCAAGUCGAACGGCAGCACGGGUGCUUGCACCUGGUGGCGAGUGGCGAACGGGUGAGUAAUGCGUCGGAACGUACCGAGUAGUGGGGGAUAACGCAGCGAAAGUUGUGCUAAUACCGCAUAUUCUGUGAGCAGGAAAGCGGGGGAUCUUCGGACCUCGCGCUAUUCGAGCGGCCGACGUCUGAUUAGCUAGUUGGUGGGGUAAUGGCUCACCAAGGCGACGAUCAGUAGCGGGUCUGAGAGGAUGAUCCGCCACACUGGGACUGAGACACGGCCCAGACUCCUACGGGAGGCAGCAGUGGGGAAUUUUGGACAAUGGGCGAAAGCCUGAUCCAGCCAUGCCGCGUGUCUGAAGAAGGCCUUCGGGUUGUAAAGGACUUUUGUCAGGGAGGAAAUCCCCAGGGCUAAUACCCUUGGGGGAUGACAGUACCUGAAGAAUAAGCACCGGCUAACUACGUGCCAGCAGCCGCGGUAAUACGUAGGGUGCAAGCGUUAAUCGGAAUUACUGGGCGUAAAGCGUGCGCAGGCGGUUGGUUAAGCAAGAUGUGAAAGCCCCGGGCUCAACCUGGGAACUGCGUUUUGAACUGGCCAGCUAGAGUACGUCAGA
rnacentral:rRNA from 1 species